rnacentral:misc_RNA from 1 species
GCAUCAAAAAUCUCCUUGCAACUAACCAAGCUCAAAUAAACACUCAUUCACAAAGUGUUUCACUCAAGCAUUUCGUCAAACAAGAGACAUACCUUACACAUUAUUAAGCAUGCAGAAGAAAGGUGGCAGAUGAAUUCAAUUCACUCAAACAAAAUUAAAAAUCUCAAUACAGGAAUCAACAACACAUAGAAGUGUUAACCCACAAUGAAAAGAACCAGUGCUACCAUUUACAAAAUGGCCAGAAGAUUCAAGAAAUCUAGAACCAGCGCUACCCAUUUACUACGCCAUGGCUCCAGGUCCUUGCUGUCUACGGCACCAGCUUCAGCUCCCAGUAGGCCUCACCAUCCUUUCGACGAUGAGAGCCAGGUUUAUGACUUCAUCCAGACACUAUUACAUGACUGGGUGCGUGGGGACUGAGGAGCAAGAUGCGAAUUGGGGUUUUACAGGAGGAAAAAUGAGGAGAAGGAGAAGAAUGCUUAAGGAGCUAGACCGAGCUUCUGUUGGCAGCUCUUUUUUAUUAGCAAAGGCAAACGACGUUGAAUUGAUCACAGUUGCAACCACUAAAGCAGAUGAAUCAAAACCAUAUAAACCAGGUUUUCUUACUGUGAAGGAGAGAUUAAUUGGGUAGCUUGAAUGAAGUUGAAGUCGCAAGCCAAUGUUGUUGAGGUUGCAUACCGCUCCUUCCUGCCUGCUCACACCACUGCCGCUGCUUCCACUAUUGAGACUCUCCCAACGCCAAACAUGGCCAUUCAAAGUUGGCGUGUUCCAACUCGAGGACUUCUUGGAAGGGGAUGAAGUUGGCGUGGACCUGAGCUGGUAGCAUUUAUAGCCUCUGCUAACUGCGUUAGUGUCGCGGUGGUCUCCUGAGAUGGUGGCGUCGGUCGACUUGAGUAAGGGG